GGUGGCUCAGUGGUAGAGUGCUUGCCUUGCAAGCCUGAGGCCAGAGGUUCGAUUCCUCAGUACCA
rnacentral:tRNA from 1 species